rnacentral:ncRNA from 5 species
UAUCACAGCCAGCUUUGAUGA